UACGAAGGGGGCUAGCGUUGCUCGGAAUCACUGGGCGUAAAGGGCGCGUAGGCGGCCUUCUAAGUCAGACGUGAAAUCCCCGGCUUAACCUGGGAACUGCGUCUGAUACUGGGAGGCUUGAGUAUGGGAGAGGGAUGUAGAAUUCCAGGUGUAGCGGUGAAAUGCGUAGAUAUCUGGAGGAAUACCGGUGGCGAAGGCGGCAUCCUGGACCAUAACUGACGCUGAGGCGCGAAAGCUAGGGGAGCAAACGGG
rnacentral:rRNA from 1 species